GAUGAACGCUAGCGACAGGCCUAACACAUGCAAGUCGAGGGGCAUCGGGGCGUAGCAAUACGCUGCCGGCGACCGGCGGAUGGGUGAGUAACGCGUAUGCAACCUACCUUCAGCAGGGGGAUAGCCCGUUGAAAGACGGAUUAAUACCCCAUAACACAGGGGCUCCGCAUGGGAGAUUAUUGUUAAAGGGAUGCUUCCUUCGGGGAGUAUUCCGGCUGCAGAUGGGCAUGCGUUCCAUUAGGUAGUUGGUUGAGGUAACGGCUCACCAAGCCUACGAUGGAUAGGGGAACUGAGAGGUUGGUCCCCCACACUGGUACUGAGACACGGACCAGACUCCUACGGGAGGCAGCAGUGAGGAAUCUUGGUCAAUGGACGGAAGUCUGAACCAGCCAUGUCGCGUGAAGGAGGACGGCCCUAAGGGUUGUAAACUUCUUUUGCAGGGGAAUAAAGUAUUCCACGAGAUGGGAUAUUGCAAGUACGCUGCGAAUAAGGAUCGGCUAACUCCGUG
rnacentral:rRNA from 1 species